rnacentral:rRNA from 1 species
AGAGUUUGAUCCUGGCUCAGGAUGAACGCUAGCGGCAGGCUUAAUACAUGCAAGUCGUGGGGCAGCACAGGUAGCAAUACUGGGUGGCGACCGGCAAACGGGUGCGGAACACGUACGCAACCUUCCUUUAAGCGGGGAAUAGCCCAGGGAAACUUGGAUUAAUACCCCAUAAGACAGUGGAGUGGCAUCACUCAGCUGUUAAAGCUCCGGCACUUAAAGAUGGGCGUGCGGCUGAUUAGGUAGUUGGCGGGGUAAUAGCCCACCAAGCCGACGAUCAGUAACUGGUGUGAGAGCACGACCAGUCACACGGGCACUGAGACACGGGCCCGACUCCUACGGGAGGCAGCAGUAAGGAAUAUUGGUCAAUGGACGCAAGUCUGAACCAGCCAUGCCGCGUGGAGGAUGAAGGCCCUCUGGGUUGUAAACUUCUUUUAUAGGGGAAGAAACCGUUCUUUUCUAAGGACGUUGACGGUACCCUGCGAAUAAGCACCGGCUAACUCCGUGCCAGCAGCCGCGGUAAUACGGAGGGUGCAAGCGUUAUCCGGAUUCACUGGGUUUAAAGGGUGCGUAGGUGGGCAGGUAAGUCAGUGGUGAAAUCUCCGGGCUUAACCCGGAAACUGCCGUUGAUACUAUCUGUCUUGAAUAUAGAGGAGGUGAGCGGAAUAUGUCAUGUAGCGGUGAAAUGCUUAGAUAUGACAUAGAACAUCGAUUGCGAAAGCAGCUCGCUACACUAUUAUUGACACUGAGGCACGAAAGCGUGGGGAUCAAACAGGAUUAGAUACCCUGGUAGUCCACGCCCUAAACGAUGGAUACUCGACAUCAGCGAUACACAGUUGGUGUCUGAGCGAAAGCAUUAAGUAUCCCACCUGGGAAGUACGACCGCAAGGUUGAAACUCAAAGGAAUUGACGGGGUCCGCACAAGCGGUGGAGCAUGUGGUUUAAUUCGAU